rnacentral:rRNA from 1 species
AGUGAACGCUGGCGGUAGGCCUAACACAUGCAAGUCGAACGGCAGCACAGUAAGAGCUUGCUCUUACGGGUGGCGAGUGGCGGACGGGUGAGGAAUACAUCGGAAUCUACUUUUUCGUGGGGGAUAACGUAGGGAAACUUACGCUAAUACCGCAUACGACCUACGGGUGAAAGUAGGGGAUCUUCGGACCUUGCGCGAUUGAAUGAGCCGAUGUCGGAUUAGCUAGUUGGCGGGGUAAAGGCCCACCAAGGCGACGAUCCGUAGCUGGUCCGAGAGGAUGAUCAGCCACACUGGAACUGAGACACGGUCCAGACUCCUACGGGAGGCAGCAGUGGGGAAUAUUGGACAAUGGGCGCAAGCCUGAUCCAGCCAUACCGCGUGGGUGAAGAAGGCCUUCGGGUUGUAAAGCCCUUUUGUUGGGAAAGAAAAGCAGCAGGUUAAUACCCCGCUGUUCUGACGGUACCCAAAGAAUAAGCACCGGCUAACUUCGUG